rnacentral:piRNA from 1 species
UACCCUGCUUGGGUUCCACACCUCAGU